AUGUUGAUCAGGAGGGGUGUGGCGUACCGCAAAACGGAGGAAACAGAUUUGUGUUGGAGGCUACGGUCGAAACGGGGGUCAUGUUCAUCGGGAGGGGUGUGGCAUACCACAAAACGGGACUCCACAGGAUACUGUUCAUCUCCAUCGUCGACCUCCUCCAGCCUCCAUCCACCGUCGACCUCCUCCAGCCUCCACCUGCGACUGUUCAUCUAUGGGUUCCUGUUCAUCCAGCCUCCACUGCUCCUCCACCGGCUACUGUUCAACCAGCCCUCUCCACGGGGUCCUGUUCAACCAGCCAUCCACCGGCUACUGUUCAACCUUCCCUCCACGGGGUCCUGUUCAUCCAGCCUCCACAGGGUCCUGUUCAUCCACGCCCAGCCGGCUCGAUCAAUCGGGGUCCUGUUCAUCCAGCGGCAAUACCACAUGGUCAUGUUCAUCCAACCCCCACCGGUAACUGUUCAUCCAACCCCCCUCCCCCCAACAACGCUCACUGUUCAUCCAGAGGCAGCAUCAAUCGGCUUCAGUUAG
rnacentral:rRNA from 1 species